rnacentral:rRNA from 18 species
UAAGUAGGUCGGGACACGUGUUAUCUUGACUGAAGAUAGGGGGACCAUCCUCUAAGGCUAAAUACUCCCAAUUGACCGAUAGUGAACCAGUACCGUGAGGGAAAGGUGAAAAGUACCUUGAAUAAAGGGGUGAAAUAGAACCUGAAACCGCACGCCUACAAGCGGUCGGAGCAACUUUGUGUUGUGACGGCGUGCCUUUUGCAUAAUGAGCCUACGAGUUAC